ensembl:scaRNA
ACUGGAGGACCAAGAAGGCUGAGUCUGAUGAAGCAAGGCUUUGCUGAUACACACCUCCUAGAUAAAGGGGUGGAGAGAGCAGCCCUUGCUGGAGAAAACCACGGGGCUGACUGUGCUACCCAACAUUU